rnacentral:lncRNA from 1 species
GGGCACGUGGGCCUUACAGGUUAAUUUUGGGCUUUAGAACACCUACUAAUGAACACAAAGGCAGAGGUGCCAAUGUCAAGCUGAACCAGAACGGUUGGAGAGCCCCAGGACCCAGAAGAGCCGCCCGCAGUAGCCCCACCAACCCAGGGUGUUCUCAGAAUUCCUCUCCCCACAUCCAGCCCUAUGAAACUUUUAGCAUCUGCCUCUUCCCCUCAAUCCUUGGAGUGGGGGGAAAUCUCAGUGAAGAAGAUGGAUCUCCCAUCCUCUUGACUGGCAGAGGCUCCCAGAGGACCCAAGCACAGCGGGAAAGAGGACUCUGAAUUUCUUGAUCAAAGAAUAUGAGGUAUUGCAUUCAUGUGGCCAUAAAGGUUGAGCUCAUUCCAAAUGCUCUCUCUCCCCUCCCUGACUCAGUCCAGCCUCCCUACCAAAUCUACUCUCUGGUGAUACUUAAUAAAGAUACCGUCCUCCUUGGGGGGAAACGGAGUUGAAAGAGCUGA